rnacentral:tRNA from 1 species
GGCGCAUUCGUCUAACUGGAAUAGGACACCCCGUUCUCAGCGGGGAGAUGGUAGUUCGAGCCUGCCAUGCGCUA